GAUGAACGCUAGCUACAGGCUUAACACAUGCAAGUCGAGGGGAAACGAUGAGAGAGCUUGCUCUCUUAGUCGUCGACCGGCGCACGGGUGAGUAACGCGUAUCCAACCUGCCUCUGACCAAGGGAUAACCCGUCGAAAGUCGGACUAAUACCUUAUGCAGUCGUCGGAAGUCAUCUGAUGACGACGAAAGAUUUCAUCGGUGAGAGAUGGGGAUGCGUCUGAUUAGCUUGUUGGCGGGGUAACGGCCCACCAAGGCGACGAUCAGUAGGGGUUCUGAGAGGAAGGUCCCCCAGAUUGGAACUGAGACACGGUCCAAACUGCUACGGGAGGCAGCAGUGAGGAAGAUUGGUGAAUGGGCGUAAGCCUGAACCAGCCAAGUAGCGUGCAGGAGGACGGCGCUAUGGGUUGUAAACUGCUUUUAUGCGGGGAUAAAGUGAGGGACGUGUCCUUCAUUGCAGGUACCGCAUGAAUAAGGACCGGCUAAUUCCGUG
rnacentral:rRNA from 1 species